GACGAACGCUGGCGGCGUGCCUAAUACAUGCAAGUCGAACGCUGAAGGAGGAGCUUGCUUCGCUGGAUGAGUGGCGAACGGGUGAGUAACGCGUAAGUAACCUGCCUUGGAGCGGGGGAUAACUAUUGGAAACGAUAGCUAAUACCGCAUAAGAGUAGAUGUUGCAUGAUAUUUAUUUAAAAGGUGCAAUUGCAUCACUACCAGAUGGACCUGCGUUGUAUUAGGUAGUUGGUGAGGUAACGGAUCAUCAAGGCAACGAUACAUAGUCGACCUGCGAGGGUGCUCGGCCACAUUGAGAGUGAGAUACGCCCCAUACGCCUACGGGCGGCAGCAGUAGUGAUUCUUCGGCAAUGGCUGGAAGUCUGAUCGAGCAACGCCGCGUGAGUACUGAAGAGUUUCGGUUCGUAAAGGUCGGUUGUAAGUGAAGAACGAGUGUGAGAGUGGGAAGUUCACUCUGUGACGGUAUCUUGCCAGAAAGGGACGGCUAACUACGUG
rnacentral:rRNA from 1 species